UACGGGGGGGGCAAGCGUUGUUCGGAAUUACUGGGCGUAAAGGGCGCGUAGGCGGCCCGCUAAGUCGAACGUGAAAUCCCUGGGCUCAACCCAGGAACUGCGUCCGAUACUGGCAGGCUUGAAUCCGGGAGAGGGAUGCGGAAUUCCAGGUGUAGCGGUGAAAUGCGUAGAUAUCUGGAGGAACACCGGUGGCGAAGGCGGCAUCCUGGACCAACACUGACGCUGAGGAGCGAAAGCCAGGGGAGCAAACGGG
rnacentral:rRNA from 1 species